UAUGUGAUCGUCUCUCGCAUAUCAAUAAGCGGAGGAAAAGAAACUAACAAGGAUUCCCUUAGUAACGGCGAGUGAAGCGGGAAGAGCUCAAAUUUGAAAUCUUCAAGGUUUUACCUUGACGAAUUGUAGUUUAAAGAAGUGUUUUCUGUUGAAGUUUUGGUAAAAGUUCUUUGGAAUAGGACAUCAUAGAGGGUGAGAAUCCCGUAUUUGACCAUUAUUUUCAGCUGUGUGAUACACUUUCAAAGAGUCGGAUUGUUUGGGAAUGCAGUCCAAAAUGGGUGGUAAAUUUCAUCUAAAGCUAAAUAUUGGCGAGAGACCGAUAGCGAACAAGUACCGUGAGGGAAAGAUGAAAAGAACUUUGAAAAGAGAGUUAAACAGUACGUGAAGAUUGUCAGAAGGGAAGCGAUUUGACACCAGUGUUGUUUUCUCGAGAAAUCAAUUAAAAAGAGUUAGAUUUUGUUGUGUAUUGACCUUAACAGCUUGCAUUUCAAUUUUCUUGCUCUUUUUAAUGCACUUUUCGUUUAACAAGUCAACAUCAGUUUCUUUUGUCGUAAAAAGGUCAUUGGAAGGUGGCUUUCUUUUCGGAGAAAGUGUUUAUAGCCUUUGACUCCUGCAAUCGGAGAGACUGAGGUCUGCAGCGUAGAUCCUUCGGGGUUAGAUACAUUUGUGCUAAGUUAUAGCUUUUUAUAGACAACUUGUUGACUAUGAUUAGUCUUGUAGCUUACUCGCUUAUGCUAUUUUACCUACGCUUAGGAUGUUGAAGAUGUAGCACAUCAU
rnacentral:rRNA from 1 species